rnacentral:misc_RNA from 1 species
GUGUGUGUGUGUGUGUAUGUGUAGAUACGUGAGCUCUAUGUGACGCAGUAUUGCUACAACUGAUUUUGGGUAUUGGUUAUUUACAUGUGUGCAUUAAAAAGCUUAUGAUAAUUGACUUGCUAGGUCUAUAUAUGAAAGAAAGCUGACUUAGGCUUUGUUAUUUAGCUUGUUGUUCAUAGUUUACUUGCAGAACUAUGGUUCGAUGUGGAUAAUGCUAAUGGGCGGAGAAUGGAAUUUGAAUAGGUUUGCAAUUUCAGAUUUUUAACAAGUAGGUUAUUGUGUGAGUAAUUGGGAUUAUUUUUUAGAAUGGUUAGCCUUUGUUAUUUAGCUUAAAUGUUCAUAUUUUACUGGCAGAACAAUGGUUUGAUGAUGAUAUUGCUAAUAGAUGAAGACUGGAAUUUGAUUAGUUUUGCAAUUUCAGCUUUGUGAUUGUGUGAGUUUUUGAGAUUCUUUUAGAAUUGUCGAUACUGUUUGAAUGAUUGUGUCCAAUUGGGAGAGUUUUUAAUGCUCAAUGUCAGACCUAAUUAUUGGAGAUUCUAGUAUGAACAAGCAUAUAAAUUUUCGCUUUGAUAGAAAAGGGGAAGUUAUAUCAACUACGUUCCUUUUUUGUUCUCAAGUCACUAGAAGUUCAAACUUGCUCUAUUUGUGGUUGCCCCUAGUUCAUUCGUAAACAUUUUUAAGACCAUAAUGCUGGGGAAGAAGAAGAUGAGCUUCUUCAGUCUUGAACUUCUGCUUGGAGUUGUUUGAUGUUUUCUUUUUCAUCUUCCUUCAUUUCAUAACAGCUUCUUUCUUUUUUUUUAAUAAUCUGGUAAUACUUGUAUAAAUACUUGCCUGUUUUUAGCUUUGUCUUGGCUAUAUUUUAACUUUCUCCGAUGUCAUGCCAGUUAUUCUGGGAUACAAGUUACUCAUUGUGAUGCUGGUGCAGUAUUGUCUGAUGAUUACAUUUCUAAUAUACGAAAAGCAUCAGGAGAUAUUUUUCGGCAUGAUUCUCUGAAAUACUCUACCAAGGAGUACUAUUUUGAGUUAAAACCUCUCUUGUCAGCUUUUGCAUUGAAGCAACUAGCCAUUACAUCCUUGAGGUCGUUUUUGCUGUUCUAUUUGCCUCUUCUGCAGCCUGCUUCAAAUACAGAAGAGGACGAUGAAGACUUUCUGCAGGAUGCUCCAGAAGUGCACCAUGCAGAUUUGGUUGUUCCCUUCCAAAAAUCAGUGAAGCAAAUUGUUCGUGAGACUACUGUUGUUACCACAAGACGGAUUCUUGAAAGGCUUGCUGUGCAUUAUGUUUCACAGCGGUUGGCUUGGAAACUUCUAAAAGAUGUUCCUAAAUAGGCUGUACGCAAAGCUGAAAGAGGGAUGCCUACUAUUCUCUAUAUUUUCAGAGUUAGCAGGACAACUUUUAGAGGACAUUUUUUAGGAGUUGCUGCAGCAUGGAUUGUACAAGUUGGUAUUGAAAUUUACCGAUUCUUUAAUCAUCUAGUGAAGUUUGAAGAAGAAAACAAUAAGGUUGAUAAAUCAGAACAAGUUAUAAUUCUCAGGAAGAAGGUUACUGGUGUUACUCUCAGCUGUAGUGCAUCACUAGUUUUUGCUUCCAUUGGGGCAGGAAUUGGCGCAACCCUAAUUCGUCCUUCAACUGGCCAGUGGAUUGGCUGUGCAGCUGGGGAUUUGGCGGGGCCAAUUGUUGUUUCACUGUGCCUUGAAAAAGUUUUUCAUGCUGAACUCCAAAGCAGUGGCAAUAUAUUAUCUGAAGUACUUCUUGCACCUGCUUGCGUCUAACUUGAUUAACAAUUUUUUUGGUGUUUGAUUGUAUAAUUCUGCAUAAUUAAUAUCGCAAUUUUGGGAGCUGUAGGUUAAAAAGGAAAGAACUACGUAAGCUAGAUAAAUACCAGGUUUUGUAGCAGACGCAGUUUUCUAAAUUGUUGGUUAGAAUUAUCCCUCAAGGUCAUUGUUACUUUCUCCUGUUAAUAAAUUUCAAGUAAUUGUUUCGUUUUAUUAGAUCUUAUGAACUGUGUUGUGCCAAAAUAAGAGGCUUGAAACUGCGUUUUGUGUAGCUACUUCCUGUUAUAGAAUGAAUUCUUACAUUUAAUCCCAACGUAUUUGUGUAAUCUUAGCAUUAUUUAUAGAUUAUUAACAUUAAUUCACUAAUGGCGUAAGCUCCUAUGGGAGUAAACAACCAAAAAAGUCAACUAAUGAAACGAAUCCUGACAAUCUUCAAUAAUCUAGGCCUCCAGAACAAAAACCAAGCAGUGAUUUGAUUUCCUUAUGUGUCCCAUAUCAUCACAACAGCAAUUAUCCCAAUACCCAACAACACUGCCAAGAACUUAUGAUGGGGUGUGUCAACUGAAGCUGCCUCCUGAGGCCUGUAACCCUUGGAUAGGAGAUGAUUUAUUGCUACAUAGAUGAAUAUUCCACAAGCCAGUCCCAUUGAAAUGGCAAAGAUCCAGUCUGCCACCGGACCUUGAGUUGUGGCAUCUAUGAUAAUCCCAAUAACCACACCAACUGGACUUGAAAUGGCAAAUGCAAAAGCAUAAGCAACGCAGGAUAACAAGGGGCGAUCAGGGAUAAUCCGAAGAAGAGCUAUUCCCAUUGCAAUGGCAGCAAAUAUCUUGUGCAGACAGAUGGUCCAUAAAGCUUUCCAAGCAUCGUUUUUCGUCUCUGCAACUCCAAUUGCAAUGCCCUCGAAGACAGAAUGGAAACACAAAGCGACUAUAAGCAAAAUGCUGUCCCCAAAUGAUCUGACAGUUGCAAGUGAGGAUUUUGCAGAGGCAGCAUCAGUACCAUUGUGCAUCUAUGAAUACAAGAAAUUCAUUCCACCACCAAGAAGAAAAGCAAUCAAGACACAGAUGAGUACAAGAGUAUAUUAUAAACUUGAAGAUUUAUAAGCUACCUGAAAAUGUGACUGUGAAGUGCUAUGGUGGCUUGUGUUUCCAUGAUCAACGCUCUCUGUUGGGAAGAAAAGAAAAAAAAAAUAUAUGACAAUUAGGAAGUCAACAGCAGACAUAAUCACAUGAUUUCUGUCCCUUUUGGGAGAAUAAUAUUUUCUCCUUGAUAAGGUUGAUGAAGGAUAUCAAUCACUCGAUUAAUGGAGACAAGUAAGAUUAUGCCAGAUUUUGUAUUUUGGAGCUAAAUUUCAAGAAAAUGUGAUCUUAUAUUCACAAUAAUACCAAAAGCCCGUUCUCUUAACCCUUCAAAUCAGAUUCAGAGGACAAUGCCCUACAUUUCAUAAUAAAUUCACAUUUCACAGCAUAGUUCCAUCCUCCACACAAACCCAGUGCUUGAUAAACAAGAAAACGUAGGAAAGAAAAAGAAAAUCUGUCAUUUUCCCACCAAUGUAUCAGAACGUACGCAAAUAAGGAAAGGGGAAAAGAACUUUUGUUAAUGGCUUUUUAUGUCAGAAAAUGAAACUUUAACUACUAAACCAAACACCUUAAUUAGAAAUGACUAAGAAUAAGUAAUUUCAGUACAAAAUCUUUUCAGAAUAAACAGAAAAAUAAAUUAUCUUAAAAAAAGUUUUCUUUUUUUUUGUUUUUAUUGUUGAAAACAUGAUCAAAAUGCUUGGGACAGAGCAUCUCCAUAUAUAGAAAUUAGCAAUUUAAGAAAUACAGGACUAUAAAAAAAAUUGCAUUAACGAGAAUCUAAUUGCAGACCUUGGCGCUCUAAAUCUCCAUUGGCCUCACUGCUUCUCUUCCCAUACACAUAGGAAAUAACACAAUCAGCAAGCAUAGUCAUCAAAUAACCAGCACUAGCCAACAUGAAAGCAAAAGGGUACUGUUUCUUAGUCAAGUCCUCGAAGGUCUCAUUUGCAUCGCUCAAGAAGUGCAUCAAAGCAGUCCCCAAGAACACCCCUCCAGCAAACUGAGUUCCCAGCACCAAGAAACCAUCGUUCCACUUCAUGAAGUAAGGUGAAAACCCACCAAGGAAAGUCCCUACAAACACCAAAAUCAAGCACCAUAUUUUCACCAAGAUUAAGGACUUCUCCCGCAGAUUGACAUGAACAUCACUGCCAGUAUCAUCAUCGUCGUCGUGGCCGCCACCGUGUGCGGUGGCUAUGAGGAGAAGAGAAAGGAAGACGGAAAGGGAGAAGAGAAAGCGAGACAUGGGUGGUGAAACAAAUUAAAGAGGAUGAUGAAUAUGAAUCCGCCGUGGAAAAUUGGAACUAGAAUUUCCCUCCCAUCCAUAUCUAAAUAUAUUGUAUACAGGCGGAGGAAAUGGUUUGUCGUCUGCACCUACUGCAGACAGAGAGGGGUUGUCCUCAGAGGAGCAAGACAAAUAGAGUUGGUAGUAUUACUAAUACAAAGCCAGGUCAUUUUUAGUUGUUCUUUACUUUCCU